rnacentral:rRNA from 1 species
CGGUCUGAUCAAGUGUCUCUAAGGGCAUUUGGUGGAUGCCUUGGCGUUGAGAGGCGAUGAAGGACGUGACACGCUGCGAUAAGCCAUGGGGAGCUGCGAGUAAGCUUUGAUCCGUGGAUUUCCGAAUGGGGAAACCCGACCGUAAGGUCACCCGCAAGGGAGCGAACCCGGGGAACUGAAAUAUCUAAGUACCCGGAGGAAAGGACAUCAACCGAGACUCCGUUAGUAGUGACGAGCGAACGCGGACCAGGCCAGUGGCCUGAGAGAAGACAACCAGAAGCGUCUGGAAAGGCGCGCCAUAGUGGGUGAUAGCCCCGUAUGGGUAAUGCUUCUUUCAGGUCCUCGAGUAGGGCGGGACACGUGAAAUCCUGUCUGAACAUGGGGGGACCACCCUCCAAGCCUAAGUACUCCUCAACGACCGAUAGCGAACCAGUACCGUGAGGGAAAGGUGAAAAGCACCCCGAUGAGGGGAGUGAAAUAGACCUGAAACCGAAUGCCUACAAUCAGUCGGAGCCGCCUUGAGCGGUGACGGCGUACCUUUUGUAUAAUGGGUCAGCGAGUUACUUUGACGAGCAAGCCUAAGCCGUUAGGUGUAAGCGAAGCGAAAGCGAGUCUGAAUAGGGCGUAUAGUUCGUUUGAGUAGACCCGAAACCGGGUGAUCUAGCCAUGGGCAGGUUGAAGGUACGGUAACACGUACUGAAGGACCGAACCCACGCAUGUUGAAAAAUGCGGGGAUGACCUGUGGCUAGGGGUGAAAGGCCAAUCAAACCCGGAGAUAGCUGGUUCUCCGCGAAAACUAUUUAGGUAGUGCGUCACGUAUUACCGUCGGGGGUAGAGCACUGGAUGGGCUAGGGGGGCGCGAGCCUUACCAAACCUAACCAAACUCCGAAUACCGAUGAGUACAGCGUGGCAGACAGACUAUGGGUGCUAAGGUCCAUAGUCGAGAGGGAAACAGCCCAGACCUCCAGCUAAGGUCCCCAAGUUAUGGCUAAGUGGGAAAGGAUGUGGGAAGGCCAAGACAGCCAGGAGGUUGGCUUAGAAGCAGCCAUCCUUUAAAGAAAGCGUAACAGCUCACUGGUCUAGACAAGCCGGCCUGCGCCGAAGAUGUAUCGGGGCUAAAGCCAUACACCGAAGCUGAGGACGUGCAUAGCACGUGGUAGCGGAGCGUUCUGUAAGUCUGCGAAGCCCAGCCGCGAGGUUGGGUGGAGAUAUCAGAAGUGAGAAUGCUGACAUGAGUAGCGAUAAAGAGUGUGAGAAACACUCUCGCCGUAAGCCCAAGGGUUCCUGCGCAAGGCUAAUCCGCGCAGGGUGAGUCGGCCCCUAAGACGAGGGCGAAAGCCGUAGUCGAUGGGAAUCAGGUUAAUAUUCCUGAACCCGAUGGUAGUGACGGAUGACGUAAGUUGUACAUGCUUAUCGGAUUGUGUGUGCAGCGAAGUUGUUCCAGGAAAUAGCUCCAUCAUUAGGACCGUACCCCAAACCGACACAGGUGGGCAGGUAGAGCAUACCGAGGCGCUUGAGAGAACGAUGUUGAAGGAACUCGGCAAAUUGCCCCCGUAACUUCGGGAGAAGGGGGACCUCCAUUAAGGCAACUUUUUGGAGGUGGCACAGACCAGGGGGUGGCGACUGUUUAUUAAAAACACAGGGCUCUGCGAAGUAGUUAAUACGACGUAUAGGGUCUGACGCCUGCCCGGUGCCGGAAGGUUAAAAGGAGGUGUGAGAGCUCCGAAUUGAAGCCCCGGUAAACGGCGGCCGUAACUAUAACGGUCCUAAGGUA